CAAAAAAAUAAAUGAGAGAAAUAAAAAAAAAUAGAAGAGAGCCUCUUAUUUAGUAUAUUCGUCUAUGGAAUAAGAGACCAUACGUGUCACGUAUUCCUUGGCCAAACAGAUUAACGGAAGAAUUUUUUUUUUUUUUGAUGUUCGAUCGAAUUUUUUUCUUCCUCUUCCUCUCCCUCUCCCUCUCUCUCUCUCUCUCGAUCGAAGUCGCGAAGAUGUUGGGGUCGGAGGAUAUUUUUGAUGGUCGAUUGAUUUUUUUCUUUCUCUUCCUCUCCCUCUCUCUCUCUCUCGAUUGAACUCAGAGGAGAUUAAAUUCGGGGAUUGCCCUUCUCGGCUUUUUGAUUUCCUCAUUCGAAUCUUUUCUUUGUUUUUGGUGUAAAUUGUUUGGAAACAUUGGAUUGUCAUGCAUAUGAUUCUAUGUUUUUAUUGGUGUUUGUGUGAUCAAGUUUUGAACUUUCGAAUUGGGUUUGGUGAUGGUGGCUUGAAGGUGUUUCAUGUUUGUUCUUUUCGCAAUUGGCUAAAUCCCAAACUGAGAACUCUCAAAUUCAGAGAUGCAAUAGAUAGGCUAAAACAUCAUAAUCCUUGAUAAGCUUGUUGAUAGGAUUCUGAAUCUGUUUCCAUUUGAAGUUAAGAAGCAUUUUGAUUAAACUUAGCAGAAUUUUGAAUCUGUUGUUUUGAUAUCACUCUUAUCUAAUUUGGUCUGAGUUUACUUGUAAACUGGAUUUUGUAGUUUGAUCCCUUGUUUUGUCCGAUUUCAUUUGAGAAGCAUUGUGUAGCCUCCAUUGUCUUUGUUUGAGAACAUGGCUCGUAAAUAUUUGUUUGAGAACAUGGCUCGUAAAUUUUGAUCACCAAAAGCUAUUGUUAAAUCUAGUUUAAUUACAAAAUUUCUUGUUAAAUCUAGUUUUUGUUGAAGUUCGUUGUGUUAUGUGUAGUUAAGAUAACAGACAGGAGAUGUGAAGAAAGCUAUUGUUCAGAAAACUAGAUUGGAAGCUAGUGAAGUCAAGAUCUUGUUCAGGGGAGUUGAGAACGAUCCUGAGCAAUUGCAAGCUGCUGGUGUUAAGGAUGCCUCUAAGCUUGUCCUCGUUGAGGAUCAGAACAAGAGAGUGGAACAACAACAACAACAAGUUGAACAACCUCUUGUGGUAACUGAAGAGACGAAGAAGGCGAUUGCUGCAAUUCUCGCAGUCACAGAAGAGGUCGAUAAGCUUUCAGAUAGGGUGAGAGAAAUUUAUGGCUGUGUCUUUUUGGUUGUUACUGUAGGAGAGAAGAAAUGAACUAAGGAUUGGGACUAAAGUUGCAGUAAAGGAGUUUGAUAUGACUUCUCAUGAGGCAGUUUCUUAAAUUGGAUGGCAUCAAUGCAGAAGGAGAUGCUAGGUUACAGCGUAAGGCAGAGGCUCGUUCAGCUGAUCGAAGAACUUGCUAAGAUGAUACCAAGAGAGAAGCUUUCUGAACUGCAUGGAGACUCUUUUAUGGAGAUGUGUCCAUCAUUUGGAGCUGAGUACCUACGUGAUUUCAAGGUGGAAACUAUUGGAUUGAAGGAUACAUCAAGAAGGUGUUCUGUUCAAAAGUGGGAAGUUAAUUUGUCAUGCUGAUGCUAUUCUUGCAAAGGCAGCCAAUGUUUUGCGGAGACGUCAGGAAGAAGAGAUAAGCUCUGUAAUGCUGGUUGCAACUAUUGGUGGUAUAAGACAUCUUCGCAUCCUGCUGCAAUAUUAGCUUUGAGAGGUCCACACAUUCUCCAAGUAGAAAUUUGUUGGAGUCUUUGAUGGGUUAUUGUUUGGUUUGAAAGCAAACAAAACUGUAAAUUGCAUCUUUUUCUCUUAUUCUUUUAAUUUUAACUUGGAGUACGAGUUAAGAUGUACUUAAAUUAAGAUCAGCUUGAUGGAUCUCGAAGUCGAGGUA